rnacentral:rRNA from 1 species
ACGUGGUAUCCUGUCUGAAUAUGGGGGGACCAUCCUCCAAGGCUAAAUACUCCUGACUGACCGAUAGUGAACCAGUACCGUGAGGGAAAGGCGAAAAGAACCCCGGCGAGGGGAGUGAAAAAGAACCUGAAACCGUGUACGUACAAGCAGUGGGAGCACGCUUAGGCGUGUGACUGCGUACCUUUUGUAUAAUGGGUCAGCGACUUAUAUUCUGUAGCAAGGUUAACCGAAUAGGGGAGCCGAAGGGAAACCGAGUCUUAACUGGGCGUUAAGUUGCAGGGUAUAGACCCGAAACCCGGUGAUCUAGCCAUGGGCAGGUUGAAGGUUGGGUAACACUAACUGGAGGACCGAACCGACUAAUGUUGAAAAAUUAGCGGAUGACUUGUGGCUGGGGGUGAAAGGCCAAUCAAACCGGGAGAUAGCUGGUUCUCCCCGAAAGCUAUUUAGGUAGCGCCUCGUGAAUUCAUCUCCGGGGGUAGAGCACUGUUUCGGCAAGGGGGUCAUCCCGACUUACCAACCCGAUGCAAACUGCGAAUACCGGAGAAUGUUAUCACGGGAGACACACGGCGGGUGCUAACGUCCGUCGUGAAGAGGGAAACAACCCAGACCGCCAGCUAAGGUCCCAAAGUCAUGGUUAAGUGGGAAACGAUGUGGGAAGGCCCAGACAGCCAGGAUGUUGGCUUAGAAGCAGCCAUCAUUUAAAGAAAGCGUAAUAGCUCACUGGUCGAGUCGGCCUGCGCGGAAGAUGUAACGGGGCUAAACCAUGCACCGAAGCUGCGGCAGCGACGCUGAUGCGUUGUUGGGUA